ensembl:lncRNA
UGGACUUUCCUAUGAAACAUCAGUGCAGGAGUCUCUCAGUACAUCUGUUUACAGUGAGGACAAAGAAGCAGCACAAACACAGAAAACAUACAUGACUGUAAUCAGAGUAUGGGAGAGUAACUGAGUACACUUCCUGUUUGUGAUUGAGGUGAUUUUCUUCUUUAUAUCAUGUCAGAUAAAGUCUGACAUCUUUUGGUUCUUCAGCUGAUGAAACACAUUGAAUUCAUUUAAUUUCAUGUGUUUUCACAGAUGAAACCAGCCAACAGUGAAUCAAAUGUUUUACACUAACGUGACAUGACGUUCAUCUAACCAGCUGAACCAGUUAGUGGUUACAGUAACGGGUUAAUCCACUAAUGCUCACAGGCUUCACUCAGCCUGUCAAAUUACCUAAAAACGCUGAAAGACAUCAUUUAAAUACUUACUGCUGUUCUGAAGAAUCUCUGAAACACUCAAACACUCUUCUGAUCAUCAGAGUGGAAAAAAUAAAAUGAUCUACUGACAGAUAAAAAACUGUGAGGUCAGUGUGUCCCAUCGGUUUUUCAGUAGGUGAAAAGGAAGCUACUGAAGUUUUGUUACAAAGAAGUAAAAAGUUACUCAGAUGUAAAUAUUUGACAAAUAAAAAAAAAUCAAAUCAUAAAAAAUGUAAAAGUUUAAAAUCCCAAAGUAAAGGUAUGUCUGUGUCAAACAGCUGCAGACUAAACUAACCUGUAUUUUCUGUCAGCUGUUUUAUAUCAGACAUCUGUGACCUGCGUCAACAUUUUCACGCCCACCUUUGUUUGUCCUCUGUUUGAGCAGCUGCAAGUCCAGACAUGUGACAAACAAAUACCUCAAAUUCAAAGGAAAAGAAAGAAGUAUAAGAAUGAGAACCGUUUUCCACUAACACAGGUAGAUAUAAAGAGAAAUUCCCACUCCACACUGUCUGUGAAAUUAUAGAUACUUGGUAAAAUUAUUACAAGCUCAUGAACACUUACUGUUGAUCUGAAGGAUCUCUGAAACCCUCAAACACUCUUCUGAUCAUCAGGAUGGAAAAAUUAUCCACUGACAAAGUCCAUACACC